rnacentral:rRNA from 1 species
GAGGAAUAUUGCGCAAUGGAGGCAACUCUGACGCAGCCAUGCCGCGUGCAGGAAGAAGGCGCUACGCGUUGUAAACUGCUUUUAACCGGGAAGAAACCCCAGGACGUGUCCUGGGUUGACGGUACCGGAGGAAUGAGCACCGGCUAACUUCGUGCCAGCAGCCGCGGUAAUACGAAGGGUGCAAGCGUUAUCCGGAUUCAUUGGGUUUAAAGGGUGCGUAGGCGGGGUGGUAAGUCAGUGGUGAAAUCCUGCGGCUCAACCGUAGAAUUGCCAUUGAUACUGCCAUUCUUGAGUAGGCUCGACGUGGGCGGAAUGUGCCGUGUAGCGGUGAAAUGCUUAGAUAUGGCACAGAACACCGAUAGUGAAGACAGCUCACGAGGGCCAAACUGACGCUGAGGCACGAAAGCGUGGGGAUCGAAC